GGCCCACGCACCGCAAUGAAGAGUGGCCCCCGCUUGCUGCAACUAGAGAAAGCCCUCGCACAGAAACGAAGACCCAACACAGCCAAAAAUAAGUAAAUUAAUAAAUUAAUUAAAAAGCAACAAGUUUAAAAAGAUAACUGCUGAGUGAAAAAUGGGUUACAGUGGGGCACAAGUGGAUGCAGGGUGGCCAGUUAGGCUUUUGCAGUAGUCUAAGCAAAAGAGACCCAUGGCUUGGACUUGGGUGGCAAUAAAAAAAGAGAAGGGCAUACAUGGAGGAUGUGUCUUUAAGGUAAAGCCAACUGAACUUACACAUGGGGAACAAAGAAGAAAGAAUCCGAUGGCUAGUGGGUUUUCGACUGGGUGGGUGAUUGUGUGAGAAGACCAGUAAUACCACGAACUGUACACUUAAAAAUGGUUAAGAUUCUACAUUUUAUGUGUAUUUUACCACAAUAAAAACAUUGGGAAAAAACUGUACUGGGUGCAUUCAAUUUUAAAUAGAAAAGUUAUAUAAGACAAGUUGGUGUUAUGUUAAAAACAGUGGACUUGGGUCCAGGACACUGACUGAGAUGUCUUAGAUAAGUUACUCUUCCCUUCAGGACCUGAGUUUCAUCAUCUGCUAAAUAUUCCUGUGAGUACUAAAUGAGAUGAUGGGACAGAACCCAGCAAGGUGCCUGGCACUCAGUAGCAGGUCUGUCAGUUUUAUUUGAAUCUGCAACCCAGGCUUCUGAAUGAGUGAGCCUGGCCUCCCCUCUCACUUUAUGCUGAUUUAUUCCUAAAAUAACCAGAAGCUGGUGUUUACAGAUUAUCCCACAUGCUAAUGGAAUGUUAGCUUCUAUUACAUCAUUAUUUUCAUUGCUUUAUUUCAUUUUCACUAGCAUUAUUUGAGAUAAUAGGUGCCCCAUCCCCUUUUUUGUUUAUGAGGAAACUGAGAGACGAAGAGGUCAGAAGGUCCUGCCCAAGGUUGCAGAGUCAACAUGACAGAUUCUGGUCCCAAGUCGAGUGCUUUUCCCUUUAUGAUGCACAUGCUUAUGAAAACAGGUCAUUUGUAUCUAUUAUGUGAAUGGACUUUUUUCUUUCCUAUCCUUCACAUUUUUUAUGAAGUCACGUUUUAUAAUUUUUAAAGUCAGUCCUAAUGUUUGCUUCCAGACUAAAGCUAAGAGUAAAUGCCAACAUUAGAAACUUUUAGGUCUUGCUAAUAAUCUAAAAAAUCUGGUAAUAGUAAAACUCUUAGUAAAGGUUAACUUGUGUUAUAGUUAACAUAGAGUUAUAGAUUACUCACCAUAUCAUUUUGAGCUCUUUUUCAUAUUUUAAUUAAAAGAGAUAGGAACAGUACUAAAAGGAUCUUUCUGUAACAUGGAUAUUUAUU